AUUGAACGCUGGCGGCAUGCCUUACACAUGCAAGUCGAACGGCAGCACGGGAGCAAUCCUGGUGGCGAGUGGCGAACGGGUGAGUAAUAUAUCGGAACGUGCCCAGUCGUGGGGGAUAACGUAGCGAAAGCUACGCUAAUACCGCAUACGAUCUAUGGAUGAAGGCGGGGGAUCGCAAGACCUCGCGCGAUUGGAGCGGCCGAUAUCAGAUUAGGUAGUUGGUGAGGUAAAGGCUCACCAAGCCGACGAUCUGUAGCUGGUCUGAGAGGACGACCAGCCACACUGGGACUGAGACACGGCCCAGACUCCUACGGGAGGCAGCAGUGGGGAAUUUUGGACAAUGGGCGCAAGCCUGAUCCAGCAAUGCCGCGUGCAGGAUGAAGGCCUUCGGGUUGUAAACUGCUUUUGUACGGAACGAAACGGCGAGCUCUAAUACGGUUUGCUAAUGACGGUACCGUAAGAAUAAGCACCGGCUAACUACGUGCCAGCAGCCGCCGUAA
rnacentral:rRNA from 1 species